AACGAACGCUGGCGGCAUGCCUAACACAUGCAAGUCGAACGAGACCUUCGGGUCUUGUGGCGCACGGGUGCGUAACGCGUGGGAACCUGCCCUUAGGUUCGGCAUAACUCCCCGACAGGGGUGCUAAUACCGGAUAAUGUCUUCGGACCAAAGAUUUAUCGCCUUUGGAUGGGCCCGCGUUGGAUUAGCUAGUUGGUAGGGUAAAAGCCUACCAAGGCGACGAUCCAUAGCUGGUCUGAGAGGAUGAUCAGCCACACUGGGACUGAGACACGGCCCAGACUCCUACGGGAGGCAGCAGUGGGGAAUAGUGGACAAUGGGCGAAAGCCUGAUCCAGCAAUGCCGCGUGAGUGAUGAAGGCCUUAGGGUUGUAAAGCUCUUUUACCCGGGAUGAUAAUGACAGUACCGGGAGAAUAAGCUCCGGCUAACUCCGUG
rnacentral:rRNA from 1 species